AUCCUGGCUCAGGAUGAACGCUAGCUACAGGCUUAACACAUGCAAGUCGAGGGAAACGAUAUUGGAAGCUUGCUUCCGAUAGGCGUCGACCGGCGCACGGGUGAGUAACGCGUAUCCAACCUGCCCAUCACUUGGGGAUAACCUUGCGAAAGUAAGACUAAUACCCAAUGACGUCUCUAGAAGACAUCUGAAAGAGAUUAAAGAUUUAUCGGUGAUGGAUGGGGAUGCGUCUGAUUAGCUUGUUGGCGGGGUAACGGCCCACCAAGGCGACGAUCAGUAGGGGUUCUGAGAGGAAGGUCCCCCACAUUGGAACUGAGACACGGUCCAAACUCCUACGGGAGGCAGCAGUGAGGAAUAUUGGUCAAUGGACGAGAGUCUGAACCAGCCAAGUAGCGUGCAGGAUGACGGCCCUAUGGGUUGUAAACUGCUUUUAUAAGGGAAUAAAGUGAGUCUCGUGAGACUUUUUGCAUGUACCUUAUGAAUAAGGACCGGCUAAUUCCGUG
rnacentral:rRNA from 1 species